rnacentral:rRNA from 1 species
UACGGAGGGUGCGAGCGUUAAUCGGAAUAACUGGGCGUAAAGGGCACGCAGGCGGGCUGUCAAGUGGGAUGUGAAAUCCCCGGGCUUAACCUGGGAACAGCAUUUCAGACUGGGAGUCUAGAGUACUGUAGAGAGGGGUAGAAUUCCACGUGUAGCGGUGAAAUGCGUAGAGAUGUGGAGGAAUACCGAUGGCGAAGGCAGCCCCUUGGGAAUGUACUGACGCUCAGGUGCGAAAGCGUGGGGAGCAAACAGG